rnacentral:misc_RNA from 1 species
CCGAGUGAGGGCCUCCGGGCUCGAUCUCCCACCCUUUGACAAACGUCCGGUUUGCCUCGGGGGUGACCCGGACCUCUCAACGUCCGGGUGACCCCCGGAGGGAUACCCACUCUGCAUUUUGGCGUCGGAGUCACAGUAAAUGAAACAA